rnacentral:ribozyme from 1 species
ACUCACAGGAGCAACAGAGGGCGGCAGUGUCAGCGAUGAACCAAGCCGUGAGUGCCAUGAACAUGCAACCAAACUGGUGGCACGACCCGAUGAAGGUCAUGGGGAUUCAGCACAUGCCAAGCUUAGUGCACGCCUCUCAGAGCGGGUCUCAGAUGCAGCCAAGUAGCCAGAUGGAGUCCACGAUGAUAGGCAGCCACCACCCUAGCUUGU